GUCAGACAGCAGGCACCGCGAUCUGAACAGCUCUGCCAAGAGUUGGGUGUGGACGAGCCCCUAAAAAUACUGUAGCCCAGCCCCUCACUUUGAGCUGAAAUGAAAGCUGAAAGGGGCUUUGAAGCGAAGAAAAGUGAAAUGCCUGGCCCAUAUUCCCGGCAGAAUUGGCUGUAGAACAUGAAUAAGCCCGGGUGCCCCGAACCAGUGCGGACAGAAGAGCGGAUGUUUAGUGACUCGUUGGAUGACAAGCACAGGGCAGCCAGGAAGCAAGUGGGGUGUAAGUAAAUGUCCCGGCUGUGGUCAGGAAGGCCACGCCUGGUCCGCAGGGAGCUGUACAACACACCUGGGCAUUUCUCAGCCUCGGGUCUCUAAGAUGAUUGGAAGGGAGCCACGCCAGGAACAGAGAGCGCUGUGCUAGGCUUCACUCAACAAGCGGAAGUGUAAUUGGCGAACAAACCACAAACACUGUGGAGAGGGCUCAGAGGGGUGUGUCCAUCCCUCCACACAAGGAGCCGGGUGUUCUCCACCAAGCACAGCCGGUGCCCCAGCCUGGCCAGGGCUGACUCAGUCAAACUGACUUCUGUCAUCAGCAAGCCCUGCACGUGUGUACCCUGCGGUCCCGCCAGUGGCAGAGCCGAGCUCCCGGACCGUUAUAAAAUAACUUUGUCAGGAAACCGCCAUCCCAGGUGGGGCCCCCCAGGUGCCUGACCACCUCUGAUUAGGGCUCCCAGGUGGGAGCCCUGUGCGCUCCCGGCACUGCUGCCCUUCCCAGCCAGCCGUCCCCACAUCCACUCUCAUCCCAAAGAGGCUGCACCCAGUGCUGCCCGGCAGGAGCACUUCCGGUCCCACAGAGACAGGAACUCACACUGUGGCAGCAGCUUGAUGUGCCAGACGCUCUGCAAAGGCCUCUUCUCUUCACAAAGGGGACGCUUGCCGUUGAGUGCCCAGAGGACAGAGUCCCAGGAUAAAUGUGUUCUCUUUCUAGAAUGCUAAUUUCACUCAAAGAUUUGAGAAGGAAAGUUAAUUAGUGUAAGGAGGCAACGAGUAUUCCCAGAUUCCUGGAAAUCCUCCAGAUCAUCUACACAUAGUACAAAUAACACUACAUCUUGGAGAGCUUCUCAUAACAUGUUCAUCAAGAAUUAUGUCAUCAUUGUAACAGCUGCACAGUAUCUCAUUGUAUGCAUGUGCCAGAAUUUGUAAACCAGCCCUAUGACGGUUAUGUCCAAUAUUUUCCUGUUAUAAACAACACUGCAACAAUAUGA